GAGAAACCCUCACCCAGGCUGGCUGUGAUGCUUAGCCUACGUGCACAUGGUCCCAGGGAAAUAUUUAGGGAGUCAAGGGCCUAAGGGCUUUAGACCUGUGCCCUUGUGCCCUUUCCUGACCAUGUAUUUUUGUGCUAUAAGAGCUUCAGAAAACAGUCUUGCAGAAGUUUCUUGGCCUGUUGUCUACUUCUGCCUAACUGUUUUCAUCUCCUUCUCCCUAUUUGCAUUAGGCAAAGCCAUAGACAAAUGACCACAAGUAAAAAUGGCAGGAUGCAGGUCUGUGGCCACCUCCUGUCACCACUGGCCUGCUCUCCGGAGUGACCACAGGUUGAAUUUACUCCCUGAGUGCAAACUGCAGGGGUUGUGCUAGGGAUGUUGAGAUGCAAUGACCUGGUUUUAUGUGCAGAGCUGAGCUUGCAGUGUGAGCAGGCAGGGGGCUGAUAAACUUGUGUCUAGGGUAACAGGAAAAUUCAGAGCCUCUUUCCCCUUCUUGUUUCAUGUUGGGCUCGACCGUUGUCUGAUGCUGUUCAGCAAAAGCCGGGUGCUGGGCAGGAAAGCAGCAGCUGAAUACUCCAACAAGUGGCUUGUUAGUGAGGAAUGUCCUGCGUGAGCUUUGUCGUGGGCUCCCUGCUCCUGAAAGCACUGCAGCCUCCUUCCCCAGGGCCGGGGCAAGAGCCAGAGUCAGACAAUACCAUGCUGACUGCUGCAGAGUCACCAGGUUGGACCUGAAGCACUACGUAUGCUGUAACACACCAUCCAAAGAGCGGCUGAUGGUAGAGAGAAAAAUGAAGCAACUUUUCUAGGUGUUUUGAAUCACUGCAACCCUCAGUCUGCCCCAUAAAAUCAGCAGAAUUGCAGAAUCUGAUUCAAAGCCUCAGCAAAGUCAAAAUGAUUCUUUGACUGGCUUGAGGAGACAGUAGAUAGACCAAAGCAGCCAAAACCUUUCCAUUUGUCCCCAGAAAACAUUUGAACGUUUGCAUGUAAUGAAACAUUUAGUAGGCCAGCAAUAAAUUAAGUGAAGAAUCUCAGUUCCUUUAAUAAAAUAAUCUGUUAAACUGACA